UGAUCUUUCACAUUAUGCCCUUUAUCGCGCGGCAGCUGAUCUGAUCAAACGUGAGCAAGUUCAAUCGGUCGUGUGCUACUUUUUGGAAAACUAAACUCUCUCCAAAUCCAAGAUAGCCUGUGAAAAGAUGAGCAACGAAUCCACACCUCGAAAAGUUUGCAUAAUCGGGUCUGGCAACUGGGGCUCAGCCAUUGCCAGGAUUGUUGGUAAGAAUGCAAAGAAGCAUCCCGAGUUUGAAGAUGUUGUCUCUAUGUGGGUAUUUGAAGAGAUGGUGAAUGGAAAAAAAUUGACAGAGAUCAUCAAUACCACACAUGUUAAUGAGAAAUAUCUUCCAGGCCACACUCUGCCAGAUAAUGUGGUUGCAGUUCCUGAAGUAGCUGAAGCCGCGAAGGGAGCCAGGUUACUAAUCUUCGUACUACCUCAUCAAUUUGUACCUAAGGUUUGUGAGUCAUUGAAGGGGAAGAUAGACCCAGAUACCAUUGCAAUCUCUCUUAUUAAGGGUGUACAUAUCAAGGAUAAUGGAUUAGAAUUAAUCUCAGAGAUGAUUUCAUCCUACCUUGGAGGAGUACAUUGUCAUGUUCUGAUGGGAGCUAAUCUGGCACCAGAGGUAGCUGCUGAGAAGUUCUGUGAGACAACAAUUGGUUGCAAAGAUAAAGCAAAGGGUAUUCUGCUCAAGAAACUCUUUGAAGCAGAGUACUUCAGAGUGGUAGUUGUGGAAGAUGAAAACACAGUGGAACUGUGUGGAGCAUUAAAGAAUAUUGUAGCAGUAGGUGCUGGUAUAAUUGAUGGUCUGAAGCUAGGUGAUAACACUAAAGCUGCUAUUAUCCGUCUUGGUCUAAUGGAGAUGGUAUCCUUUGCUGAGACGUUCUAUAAAAAUGUUGACAAGGCAACCUUCCUUGAAAGCUGUGGUGUUGCUGAUCUCAUUACAACAUGCUAUGGAGGCAGGAAUAGAAGGGUUUCUGAAGCCUUUGUCUUGACAGGAAAGACAAUCGAGGAGCUUGAGAAGGAGAUGUUGAAUGGUCAGAAGCUUCAAGGACCUCAAACAGCUUUUGAAGUUCAUCAGAUGCUGAAAGAAAAGAAUCUAACCGACCAAUACCCUCUGUUUACCGCCAUCUACAAUAUUUGUUACGAAGGCCUUCCAGCAACUAAGCUGAUAGAAUCUCUUCAUGAUCAUCCAGAGCAUAUUUAGGAUACAAGAGGUGUAAUUACACCUGGAAAGAAUUUUAAUCCUAAGGUGAUGUUACACAUAGUAAUAUUUGUUCUUGAGAACGUGACAAUCUGUAGUGACCACACAGAAACAUUGUGUGCGCUAACAGUGGCAGUGAUGCCUAAUGUUACAACCAUGCAUUACUUUCUCAUUGAAAUAAAUGUUUCUACUCAACAAUCUGAAAAAUAUGACUGGGCUUACUGUUAGCACUCUGUUAGGCUAACACCGUUUCUGUGCGGCCGGCACUGGUGUUUGGAAUGUUUGUGGUGUUUUCCCAUGGCUGACUAAUGAAUGUUAACAAGUCGUUAUGAAUCUUGAACUGGUUUGUUUCUUGUUUGUGACUUUACCUUGAAUCAGAAAUGGUUUGAUGGUAGAGUCACUGCAGUGAAAACAGCAUAACAUUAUGUAAGAUUCAAAUCUCAAGAUCACUAGUUACUAGAUUCUAUCUGACCUUUUUUCAUUUACAGAGUGUGCAUGCAAUCUGAAAUCUUUAAAUUUACAUUAAACUUUUUUUUUAUUUUUUAGUAUUAUUUGUACUAAACAAAUGAAGGAUAUUACUUGAUAUUUAGACAUCUUAAUUUAAUAAUUAUGAUGAUUAUAGGAUCAUUUAUAUAGCACAGCUUCUAUUCAUUUACUCUACUGCAAUUAAUAUGAUAACAUCUUUAUAUAAGGUAAUGAAAAUAUGGAAGAUUACUUAAUGAAAUGUUAUAAUACCCUGGCAUAAAGACACAUUUCAUUAUCGGGGGGGGGGGGGGGGGGGUCUGUUUUAUCAGUGCAAGUUGAGUUUUGUCUUUUUAUAUUCUCUUAUGCUAGCCAUUGUGGAUCCAUAUUGUGUGCAGUUAUCAUUCCUGUUAAUGUAUGAAGCAUUAUCUACCCCUCCUUCCUCAGCUACCAGCGUAUAUGCAGUGUGUCAUUUUUAUAAGAUGAGAAAUACCCUUAACACCCUCAAAUGUAAUCUUAUUUUUUUCAAAACAUCAAACAGAGAUAUGCCUUGCUUGUCUGAUGCUUUUGGAAUUCAAAUUCUGAUGAUAUAAUAUUAUGUGUACUUGAAUAUCCUUGUGAACCUAAAGAUUUAUUUGAUAUUCCCAAUUUCCAGCAUGUUUUUUUGUAUUCACUGUGUCGCUAUUUUUGUAAUUAAAAAACAAGUUACAAAUAUUAAUCGUCAUAUAUCCAAAUACAACUUUAGCUGAUGGAAAUUAGAUUAGAUAGAAUGAUCUUGUGCCAAAGAACAUAUUCCAGAUGUUUGUAAGGUCAUGUAUAACUUAAUGAAAAGUUAUCAGGAUGGACUUCGUAUGGCAUUACCUUUUGCAGUACUGGUAGCCCUUUAUAACCUUUCAGAAGACUGUCUUAUGCACAAAUUCAUAUUAUGAAACUGUACUGUUUUAUACGAUAGUAAAUGUGUGUAACAAUACAAUACAAGGUGACCAAAUUAAAUAAAUUUGAAGGUUAUAUGUAAAUCUCUGUAGAGACUGUGAUAAAGUUUGAAAAAUAGUAACAUCAAUUUUUAAUUAAAGCAGAAAUAUACAAUUUACAAAGCAACUCUUCUCAAACCAAAAGAUUCUGACUGAUUCAUAUUGAAUGUAUUUACGACUUUUAUAAGUAUGAACUUUAAAUGGUUUUGUUUUUAUUUGAAGUUCAAUUCACAUGUGAAGAUAGGUUGUUGGAGUUUUUCUCUGUCAUCUUUUCCUUUAGCAUGAUUUUCCAAUGGUUGCCAUAUAUAGGUUUAUCCCAUUUAACUAUGUAAAUAUUAAAAUAUAAUAUCCUCUAAUUUGUUUAACAAGAAAAAUUAUUCUUUGAAAUUUAAAAGGGGAUCAUGCAUUGCCAGUGGUAAUGAGAGAUACAUUUGGAAUCAAGAUUGAACAAAAAAUGAAAGCCAUAUUAAUUACAGGACUAUGAUCCUUCAAAUCACAUUGCAAAUAUCAAGAAUUAGAGACCAUAUCAAUGUACUUCAGCUAUUGUCUCUAUUUUUUAAUGUCUAUAUAAAGUGUGUUUUUGUAACACAUGAAUGUGUGCAGAUUAUUAUUGGGGAUAGAAACAAGUAAUGCAACUGUUUGAAUAGUGCGAGUUGGAAGGCUUUUUAAAAAAUCUUACUUAGAGAUAAUUUAAGUAUUUUUUUUUACUUAUAUUUCUAAAAUUCUGAAUCUCAUAUGUAGUAACAGUUCAGUAUCUUAAGUUCAAAAAGUAAAUUUAUGGAAGAAAGUUAGUUCUUUGUUUCCAAAUGUUGAUAAUGAUUUUAAUUCAUACCAUGAGCAUGCCUUGACACGAUUUUGAAAUUUUCACAGAAUUUGUUAAACAAAUUAGUGUGUUUUGAAAUAUGAAUUGAUUUAUUUUGUACUGCUCAUGGAUAAGUGAUUUUUUUAAAAUGUGUAUUCAUAUUAGAAGACUUAUGAAUUAAAAGACACAUUAUUGUAUGAUGGAGACAUGGUUGUUUUUAUUUGUGGAGUCAUUUUUAAAUGAUCACUAAUUUUUCAUAUGACAAUCGCACUGCAGUAAUUCCUCACACUGUACUAACCCACCCUUAGACCAUUAAAUCUACUCUUAAACCUUACCAUAACCCAAAGGUAUGUCAUCAUGACUGUAGUUUUGAUUAUAUGCCACCCUGACUAUUUCUAGUUACCAAAGGAUGUAUUGGAUCAUUUGUUUGAAUGAGAUAUUAACCAUAAAUCAUUCUAUCAAGGCUUGUAAAAGGCAUGGAGUGGUCAUGUGAUAAAUAUACAUUAUCAGGUUUGAACCGAAGAAGUCUGGAGCUCGCCUGUAAAGCUGAUGACUGACUCAAGCCACUUGUGCUUUCACUCAAUAAUGUUGAACACAUUAUAUUGAUCUCUAUUUUUUUUCUUUACUUGGAAGAAUAUUUUAGUUAUUCCCAAUGCGAAUAUGAGGUUUUAGCAGUAAACCUGUUGGUGAUUUCUUAGACAGGUAUAUUGAAUGAGUGGUGUUCUUGUAUCCAUUUUAGAAAGUGAAAAUAAAAACUGGUUCUGGAAAAUUAGGUUAAUCUUUGAUUUUUCUUUAUAUUUGAACUGAAAUAUGUUGUAUCUUGGUUUGGAAAAGAAUAAUAUCAAUAGAUCUGUCUUGCAGAUUGGAUUUGAUGAGAUUAAUUGAUUGCUGUAUCAUUAUGUUUUAUAUAUGAGGAAAUAUAUAUAAGUACAACGAUUCCCAUUCUUCUUUAGAUUUUUCUCACUUUAAGAAAUGCAAAGAUGCUUUUUAUCUUUCAAUAAUUGUUCUUUGUUUAUAGCUUUGAUUACUCUUAGUGUUAUUUUUUUAGUCUUCUGUUUCUGAGUUUUCUUGUAUUCACUGGAGAAUAUUAUAAUUUAAGGAUUUAAUGUUGGUUGGUAGCGGGUAUAAAUCAGACUGCUGAUCUGCAUUCCAAAACCUGUAGGAUGAUAGAUAUAAACUGAAUGACAUUGAUGUUAACAAUGUCCUCAUUGUAAAUUGGGAUUUGUAACUAAGAUUUCAUUUACCCUUAAAACCAAACAUAAUUAGUAUUCUACAUUGUAAAUGAAAUCACCAAUUAUUGUUUUUUAAUUAUUGUUAAUCAGUAUUACCUUCCAGUCUUCCUGCAAGAGUAAUAAUAUUGUAACUUCUGAAUUCUGAACUUUAGAAAAUUUAUAUGAAAAGUAGAUAGUUACGCAGUAAGAUGAUGAUCAAUGGAUUGAAAUUUGACUUUGCUUUUGAAAACAUGAAAUAUAAUUGAAGUUUGAGAUGUGUUGAAAGUAGCUUGUAUCGAUAUUUAGAAAAACAGCAAUUAUUUUAUUAAUGUGAAAUCAAUAUUGAAUUCCUCAAUUUAUUUGAUAAAUUAAUGGAAUCCACUAGUAUAUACCAACUGUAGUUACUGAAGUUAAUCAAGGGUAGCGUUACUUGGGUUAGGGCUCUCUACACGUUCCCCUUUUUUUCAAGAGAUGAAAAAAAGGAGAAAUUUGAAAGAAGUAUGCAAGAGAUUUCCCUAUUUCUUAUUCCAACAAAGAUAAUCAGCUCACCUUCAUGUCAAAAGUACAGUCUACUAUAAGUCAUAUUUCAUGAAGGCAGAGCAGAUAUUAAGAAUCAUAUCAAGUGUAAGUACAAUUUCAUGUUUCAAAGUUAUAUUUCACCAUGAUUUCAGGUUUUGGAUAAAAUAUAAUGAAAUUUGUAAAGAGGGUUGUCAAAUGUUAAAUCGGAUCAUUGUAGAAUUACAGGUUGCUUAGUCAAGGUCAACUGUCACUUUGUUAUGGUCAAUAAACUUUGAUAUUGAUACUUUAUUUCAGUAUAUUAUUAAUUUUUAUAUUCAAUUGAAAUUGUAUAUAAGCGCAAUCAAUAUCACAAAUUAAUAUCAAAAUCAAAGGUCAUUUCAGGUGAAAGAAAUAUGGUUAUGUAAUUUCUUUCAAUGGGUAUACAAGUGUGCACAUGUAUAUUUGAAGAAAAAAAAACUUUUACAGAAGUGACUUUUUCUGUUUUAUAUGCAUAUUUAGCGCUCAUGAUUCACUUAUUUGACUAUUCAUGUGCUCCAAUAAUUUUGGUGUUUGACCAAGCUUCUUUUAUCAUUCUGCAUUUCAAGAAACUGAAUCAUUGUCUUUGUGGCAAUAACAAAUUGUUGUUAAUACAAAACAAGUGAAGUAAAAAUGGUUACAUUUUCUUUAGUAUUACACUUUUUCAUAAUUAGGGUAUUCAAUUUAUAUUGGACAUUUAUUCAUAUACCAUCUUUUAGGAAUUUGUUGUAGUUAUUUCCUUCAUAAUGGGGGGGGGGGGCUGAAAUUACAUUCAUUCAUAAACUAUUGAAUUAUGUUACUGCAAGGAACAAUACCCUAAUUUCUGUAUGGUGUCCGUUGUUGAAAGUGUACUCUAUGUUGACAAAAAGCACAAACAAUGCAUGAUUUAGAAACUUUAUUCAAAAGUUUAUAUUUAUGACAUUUCAAGUGUUGUACUUAUUAACAAAGGGUUUUACUUUUUUGUCGGAAUAAAGUUUGUAUUCUUCAUCCAACCUCAUGACAAAAAAAUGUAUUCACAAAUUUCUAGAAUUUUCUUUUUUUAAUGACUAGUAGUGUAUAAAUCAAUUUCAAACAAUAUUUUUAAUUAUUUGUAUAUAAUUACUCUAUGAUUUAUAGAUUUGACUUUUAUAAGAUUUGUAAUUCUUUUGAUGUGAUGUUUUCUUGCCAAAAUUGCAGACCAUGAUUAUAUUCCAAUUCAUAGAAGACAUUGAUUUGUAUGUCAGCAUAUGAUUUCAUUAAAUAGUAGUGUGUGAACCAUA